rnacentral:rRNA from 1 species
UACGUAGGGUGCAAGCGUUAAUCGGAAUUACUGGGCGUAAAGCGUGCGCAGGCGGUUAUGCAAGACAGAGGUGAAAUCCCCGGGCUCAACCUGGGAACUGCCUUUGUGACUGCAUAGCUAGAGUACGGUAGAGGGGGAUGGAAUUCCGCGUGUAGCAGUGAAAUGCGUAGAUAUGCGGAGGAACACCGAUGGCGAAGGCAAUCCCCUGGACCUGUACUGACGCUCAUGACACGAA